AACGCACCUUGCGCCCUUUGGUAUUCCGAAGGGCACACCUGUUUGAGUGUCGUGAAAUUCUCAACCCUCUUCACUUUUUUGGUGAAGCCAGGGCUUGGACUUGGAGGCUUUGCCGGCUCUGCUCGGCUCCUCUCAAAUGCAUUAGUGCGUCUUGUUGCGACGUGCGCCUCGGUGUGAUAAUCUAUGACCGCUGAGGACAUCUCUCGGGAUGGCCAAGCCUGCCUUGAACUGCUUCUAACUCAUCAUUUCAUGAUAUUUUUCAACUUUGACCUCGAAUCAGGCGGGACUACCCGCUGAACUUAA
rnacentral:rRNA from 1 species